CUCUCUCUCUCUCUCUCUCUCUCUCUCUCUCUCUCACGUGAAACCUAACCCAUGAAACCCUAGCCGCCGCUCUGUCUCAGGGGUUUUUCACAUCUCCAUGAUCUCGAUGGUUACUUGGUGGAGAGGAGGAGAGCAGAAAUGGGAAGAAGCAAUUUCUUUCGAGGCUCGAAGGUAUCUCGCAAUCAUUCUUGUCUCUCGCAACGAUGAGGUCCUUUGGUUGCACGGUGGACACAUCAAUCCUGCUGUGACCUUUGGACUCCUCUUGGCAAGGAAACUCUCUCUCACAAGAGCUCUAUUCUACAUCAUCAUGCAGUGCCUCGGAGCCAUAUGUGGGGAAAUUAAAUCAUUGAUUUUGUAAUUCAUAUAUUGUAAUUUAGUAUUUUGUAAUGUAAUGUAUAAAUAACAAAUAAUAUAAUAUGUAGUGGAUUGUAUUGUAAUGCAUGCAUACUUACAUAGA